UUUUUUUUUUUGGGUUAUGAAAAGACAUAAAUGAUAAAACCUACUUCUAUCACACACAAAAAUAGAACAUGUAUCUUCAGUUCUCUCUUUAUUUUCCUUCCUUUUACAUCCACAAAUGAAUAACUCUAUCAUCACCACCACCACCGCCAUCAAACGUCAUAAAAUCCACCACCACCACGACCAUGACCAUGAUGAUCAUCAGUACUUGAUCCCUGGACUUCCCGAUCAUAUCGCUCAAAUUUGUUUGAAUCUCGUCAAUCCUUUUACGCUUUUUUCCACUUGCCAUUCAUGGCGUAAACUUAUCCACUCACCUUCUUUUCCUCCAUAUUUGUCUCUAUAUGCUUUGCUAUUACCUCCAAAAUCAUCAACAGAUGAAACAAAACAUUCAGCGUAUUUUAGCAAUUCAGUAGAAUUUGCCUGUUUCGAUCCAGUUUCAUCGAAAUGGCAGCAACUUCCUCCACCACCACCGGACCCGCCCCUUCGCCUCCUGGUUAAACACCCUUCAUUUAUUGCCAGAAAUCUUCCAAUUCAAUUGGUGAGCGUUUCUGGCAACUUAAUUCUCCUCGCAGCGACCGGGGACCAGUUUUCCCCGGCAAUUUCUCGCCCUCUGAUUUUCAACCCGAGGGCGAGAAAAUGGAGCUAUGGUCCCCGGCUCGCCGCGCCGCGCAGGUGGUGCGCGGCGGGCACGUUGGGGAAUGCGGUGUAUGUGGCAAGUGGAGUUGGGUCCCACUAUAACCCCGAGAUAGCUCGGUCAGUUGUGAAGUGGGACCUAGAUGAGAGUAAUAGAAACGGGGUUCACGAGCCCCGUUACUGUUACUGCAACCACACAUGUACACGUGGCAUAAAAAGUGGAUGGAAAUGGGAAGAAAUGAGUGGGUUAAAAGAUGGGAAGUUUAGCAGGGAAGCAAUUGAUGCUAUUGGAUGGAAAGGGAAAUUGUGUAUGGUCAAUGUGAAAGGUGAUGCAGCUAAAGAAGGGAUAAUAUAUAAUGUGGGAAAUGACACGUGGCAAGAGAUGCCGGAGGGUAUGCUAGUGGGGUGGAGGGGUCCCGCGGUCGCGAUGGCGGAGGAGACAAUUUAUAUGGUGGAUGAAUCUAAAGGGGCAUUGAGGAGAUAUGAUGAAGAGAGGGAUGUUUGGGUGGAAAUAGUUGAAAAUGAAAUGCUUAAAGGUGCGGAACACGUAGCGGCGGGUGGUGGUAGAGUGUGCGUGGUUGGCGGUGGCGGUGGGAUAGCGGUGGUGGAUGUGGUGGCAGAUCCGCCAAGGUUGGUGGUGGUUGAAACUCCGGUAGGGGUUCAAGUUUUGAAUAUACAUAUUUUGCCUAGGAUGAGUCAAUUGGCUGAUUUUGAGUCUACAGAACAAGGUGUUCCAACCAAUUGAAGGUGGUUGACAACGUGGAAUUGAUCAUUGGAGGCAGCAAGGACGUUUAUAAUUAAAUUCACUAAUUUCAGCAAAUUAAGGAGCUAAGUUGUUAAGGUUGAGACACUUCGGGCAGCGUAUACGUAUUGUGUUACGGAUAAGCGUUAAAGGUACAGAUACUCGAUUUGGUGAUCCUCCAGCUUAGGGUUUCCACUCAGCUGUCUUGGCGAGCUCCGUUGUUCCGGAGCCUAGACUUUUGGUACGAAUCUUUUAAUGUAUAUACAUGUUCAUCCAGGGGUACGGCGGGGCCCUAUCCCAUCAUAUGUCACUGUUGAUACUCUUAGAGGUCUGUAGACAUAUGUGUGGGUUGUGUAUAAAUUUGUUCAGCUGUGUCUAUACGAUGUGCUAUGGAUAUGCUCAUAUGUAUUGGCAGCCUUUUUGGCUUGCAUAUCAUGUUGAUAUAUUGUGGCAGCCUUGUCGGCUUGCGUAUCAUGUUGAUAUAUUGUGGCAGCCUUGUUUGCUUGCGUAUCAUAUUAUGCUCUGAUCAGUUAUGACUCCCCAGGAGACCGGUUAUUUGGAUAUAUGUAUAUAUGAUCACGUUAUGGACCUUUGGAGUCCUUUUGCAAGUUCUAUAUUUAUUUUAGCUUCA